rnacentral:tRNA from 1 species
UGGGGCGUCGCCAAGCGGUAAGGCAGCGGACUUUGAUUCCGCCAUGCGGAGGUUCGAAUCCUCCCGCCCCAGCCA